rnacentral:rRNA from 1 species
CAGUCGCCGCGGGAAUACGAAGGGGGCUAGCGUUGCUCGGAAUCACUGGGCGUAAAGGGUGCGUAGGCGGGUUUUUAAGUCAGAGGUGAAAUCCUGGAGCUCAACUCCAGAACUGCCUUUGAUACUGAAAGUCUUGAGUAUGGGAGAGGUGAGUGGAACUGCGAGUGUAGAGGUGAAAUUCGUAGAUAUUCGCAAGAACACCAGUGGCGAAGGCGGCUCACUGGCCCAUUACUGACGCUGAGGCACGAAAGCGUGGGGAGCAAACAGGAUUAGAUACCCGUGUAGUCCCUGUCUCUUAUAC